UUUAAAUUGCUUUGGUAUUUUGACUAUACAAAGGUAUUGUAAUAAGAUUUUAAUUGAAUGCUAAAAGAAUGGAAAUUUAAAAAAAAACUUUUUUAAAAAUAAAAAUUGAAUUUUUUUUAAUUUGUGCAAAAACAAUUAUAUUUAUUAAAGACAAGAAGACCCUAAGAAUUUAAGAUUUUACAAUUAAAAAGUUUUUUUUUAAAAUCUUGAUUGGGGCGAUCAAAAAAUAUUAAUAACUUUUUAAAAUUUAAAUUGAUCUAUUAUUAAUAAACUAAUGAAUUAAAUACUCUAGGGAUAACAGCGUAAUAAUUUUUGAUAGAUCUUAUUGACAAAAUAGUUUGCGACCUCGAUGUUGGAUUAGGAUUCUUUUUUAAUGAAGAAGUUAAAAAAAGAAGUUUGUUCAACUUUUAAAUUCCUACAUGAUCUGA
rnacentral:rRNA from 1 species